UAUUACACUGCACUCUGUUGACUGAUAUCCUUAUCUCUCUCUCUCCAACUAGGCUUUGAGCUCCUGUAGGAGAUGGAUCCACUCUUACUGUUUUCAUAUCCUUAAGUCCUAGCUCAGCGCCUGAAGCAUUAUCAGCUCAGUCGUGUCUGACUCUUUGUGACCCCAUGGACUGCAGCAGGAAUAGCAAUCAUUAAUACUUCCUGAUUCAUACGAGUUCUUCCAGUCAUCCAAAAGUCACAGCAACAUAAAGGCUCUCCAUCCCUCCUAGAGAAGUUACAUUCACCUAAUAUUGUAAGUAUCUAUUUUCUGUGUUUUUUCUCAAGUUGUAAUUUAUAAACUCCUUGAUGAUCUUUUUCAAUCUUACAUUCACUUCCCAUGUGGCUCAGUGGCAAAAGAAUCCGCCUGCCAAUGCAGGAGACACAGGUUCAAUCCCUGGGUCAGAAAGGUCCC